UUCCUUUCAAUCAAAGAACAAGCAGUGUUGUAUGCCAACUCAAAGCUGCUAGAUGCUUUAAUCCGAUUAGCGUCCAUUAUUCCUUGCACUUCAGAAGCUCUCCCACCCAAAACCAAAGCCGCAACAAGGUUUAUUUCCAAGGAAUCAAUCUUGGACUUUUGAAGCUUCUGAUAGACAUCAACACACGCACCCAUUUUCCCCAGACGAAAGAGAAUCUGUGAUUCUAACAGCAUGAUUUCAGAAUUUCUCUCUUGGUCUUUCAAAGACUCCAAAGCUUCAUCCAACUUAUUCUGUCUGUAUAAACAGUAUGCCUUGAAGAAAGUGAAGUCAACAGCAACUGUCUGAGCUGACUGAAUAGUUGAAAGAGCAUCCUCAAUGCGGUCGGCCUUAAUCAAAGCCACGACCUUGCA
rnacentral:misc_RNA from 1 species